rnacentral:rRNA from 1 species
UACGUAGGUGGCAAGCGUUGUCCGGAUUUACUGGGCGUAAAGGGCGUGCAGGCGGUCUGUUAAGUGCAGGGUGAAAGCUCCCGGCUCAACUGGGAGAGGUCCUUGCAUACUGGCGGAGCUUGAGGGGGGUAGAGGAAAGUGGAAUUCCCGGUGUAGUGGUGAUAUGCGUAGAUAUCUGGAGGAACACCGGUGGCGAAGGCGGCAUCCUGGACCAAUACUGACACUGAGGAGCGAAAGCCAGGGGAGCAAACGGG